GUCGAUGUCGUAUAGAGGUUAGUAUAACAGUUUGUGGAUCUUCCAAUUCACUGUUGACCCAGGUUCGAUUCCUGGCAUCGACA